rnacentral:rRNA from 1 species
GUGGGGAAUAUUGGACAAUGGGCGCAAGCCUGAUCCAGCAAUGCCGCGUGCAGGAAGAAGGCCUUCGGGUUGUAAACUGCUUUUGUACGGAACGAAACGGUCCGGGUUAAUACCCUGGGCUAAUGACGGUACCGUAAGAAUAAGCACCGGCUAACUACGUGCCAGCAGCCGCGGUAAUACGUAGGGUGCAAGCGUUAAUCGGAAUUACUGGGCGUUAAGCGUGCGCAGGCGGUUUUGUAAGACAGGCGUGAAAUCCCCGGGCUCAACCUGGGAAUUGCGAUUGUGACUGCGAGGCUGGAGUGCGGCAGAGGGGGAUGGAAUUCCGCGUGUAGCAGUGAAAUGCGUAGAUAUGCGGAGGAACACCGAUGGCGAAGGCAAUCCCCUGGGCCUGCACUGACGCUCAUGCACGAAAGCGUGGGGAGCAAACAGGAUUAGAAACCCGAGUAGUCC